CAAGUACUCCCUCUGUCCGGAAUUACUUGUCAUCAAAAUGGAUGUGUCUAGAACUAAAAUACAUCUAGAUACAUCCAUUUCAAUGACAAAUAUUUUCGGAUGGAGGGAGUACAAG
rnacentral:pre_miRNA from 1 species